GGGGAAAUGUCCCUCGUCUCAGUCGUAAGUGACCCUGUGGAUUGUGUUUGGCGCAUGUCAAACAUGCCUGACAAAAAUUUUACGAAUAAGAAUUGAAACCAUACGUUGUGUAAUUUUGGUUAACCUGUCCCACCAUCCCCCCUUUUGAGACAUGGGAAACCCCAUGACUCAAUAUUGCUGCCCAUUUGUAUAGGUUUUUUGGGAGGAUAGGUUUUUCCUUUUGGUCAUUUAAAGAUGCAAUUUUCUAUUACUGCCCCUUUGUUUUUCCAAAAUUUUAUUUCAUUCUUUAGACUUUGUUGUUGCAAAUCUUGUAAAAUGGUGUUAGUAAUUUGCUCUGUGUUUAGUGUGUAUAAGGGAUGAGGUGUCUUUUCCGCUGCGGUUUUUGCUGUUUUGUCAGCAAACUCAUUUCCUUUUGACACUUCAUCAGUCUUUGCAACACCUAUUGGUCAGAAUAUUUGAUAAAGGGGUCAUAUUAUGAUUUAUUUUUCUACAUGUAUAACACUUUCUCGAGGUCUGCAUAACAUGUAACAUGCAAUUGUGGUUAUGUGGUCAAAAAUGUGCAGAGAUUAUAUUUUACAUACCCUCUUCAUUUUUUGUGGAUUGAAAGAACUGAGAAGAAGAUUUACACUGCAAAAAUUCAGUGUUCAAAAUCAAGAAAAAAAUAUACAAAUAUUAGGGGUAUUUUAUUUGAACUAAGCAAAAUUAUCCGCCAAUAGAACAAAACAUUUUGGCUUGGCAAAACUUUCCAAAACGAAUAAAAUUAGCUAACCUCAAUGAACCAAAAAUAUACCUUAAAGUAAGUAUAUUCUCACUAAAAACAAGUGCACUUUUCUUGGUAGAAAAAAAAAUAGACCUUUUCGCUCAAUGUUGAAAAAUAUUCUUUAAUAAGUAAAUGCUAGUGCCAUUAUCUUGACAUAAUGAUAUGCGCACGGCAACACAAUUUGUUUUAAUGCUUGACAUAAGAAAUUAUUAAUACAAAAAGUAGUUUCAUACUUGUGAGUGUUGAUGACACAGCUUUGCAUCAGUUGAUAUUCUAGUUUCAAGCAUGUUUUACUCAAUACAGGUCAUAAAAUCUCAGCAACAAGCAGUAAUAUCUUACUGAUAUAAUUUAGGACCAAAACCCUUAAAACAAGUAAAACACUCCAACAUAAAAUCUGCUUAAUGAGAAGAAUUAUCUUAUCAGACAGAAAAUAAGCAAAUAUCACCCUUUUUUGAGAUAUUUCAUAUUACUUAGAUUUUAGUAUUUGCAGUGUACUGACUACAAUAUCGGACGACGACGGCUAAACAUUUAGUUUGGAGGUAGAAUGAAGGAAAGCAAGAUUGUUUUAUAAAUAUCUUCACUAUGCCUCCAUGGUUUGAUUUCACAUUUUAGGGAAUUAGAUAGAUAGAUGGAUGGACGGAUGGAUGGAUGGAUGGAUGGAUGGAUGGAUGGAUGGAUGGAUGGAUAGAUAGAUAGAUAGAUAGAUAGAUAGAUAGAUAGAUAGAUAGUACUAUAUUGAUUCCUUCAGGAGAGUUCCUUCAGGAAAAUAAAAAUUCCAGCAGCAGUGUACAGUGCAGGGGCGUCGCCAGACAGAUUUCACUGGGGCACGUGCCCCAGUGUUGAUCUGCAGUGCCCCGGUAAAAAUUUCACCUAUAAAAAAAAAAAAACGCUUCAGAGUUUUAAGUCUACAUAACAUAGACAACAGCGCACAUACUACUUAGUAUGGUAAUUGAUUGCUACUGUAUUCACUCCACGUAAAAAUGAGCACAUGGCUAAUUGAUAUGGUAAUUUAUUUACAUGUGGAUCGAGACUUCAGUUGAGAGAGAGAGAGAGAGAGAGACAGAGAGAUGGAGAGAGAGAGAGAGGCGAUACGAAUCACUGCUGAGACGGAUAUCGGAAAGUUAAUCGCCCGCAGCAGGGAAGAAGCAGCAGGAAUGAGAGGUGUGCAUGUCUUUGGAAGUGGAAGGAAGCCGGAGUACCUGGAGGGAACCCACGCAUUCACGGGCAGAACAUGCAAACUCCACACAGAAAGAUCCCGAGCCUGGAUUUGAACCCAGGACUGCAGGACCUGUAUUUUGAGGUAGACGCACUAACCCCUCUGCCACCGUGAAGCCCAAAAUAUUACAUACGAAUAAAAAAUAAAAAGCAACAAUGGGAAUAAAAAUAUAACAGUAAAAUAAGAAUAUAACAAUACAAAGUAGGCAGUAGUGACCAUGUUAUGAAAACGUAUUGCACUGUUAUUGUUUUGCAUUCUCUGUCAUCCUAGUACCCCCCGCCCCCUGCCCCAGAGAGGAGUUGUACAGUCUAACGGCGUGUGGGCCAAAGGAGUUUUUGAGUUUAUUAGUCCUGCACUUGGGAUGAAGCACUCUAGCACUGAACAGG